AAUACAAUAAGAAAUGCAACAUUUGAUAGGAUGACUCAUACAAACCAUUAGGCAUGACUAUUGUAUCACACAGGAUAAUUUUUAGGUAGCCAAGAGAGCACUGCUAGCAAUCUCCUAUCCUAAUCAUACAUGCAAAAAUCAGCCUCUUAUUUAUGCUGGGAUAGAGGCUUUAUCAUUGUACUAUCUAUAACAUACACGACAUAUCACAUAUCACAGAUUACAUAUCUAGAGCAGCCC